UACGAAGGGGGCUAGCGUUGUUCGGAUUUACUGGGCGUAAAGCGCACGUAGGCGGAUCAUUAAGUCAGGGGUGAAAUCCUGGAGCUCAACUCCAGAACUGCCUUUGAUACUGGUGAUCUUGAGUCCGGAAGAGGUGAGUGGAACUCCUAGUGUAGAGGUGGAAUUCGUAGAUAUUAGGAAGAACACCAGUGGUGAAGGCGGCUCACUGGUCUGUUACUGACGCUGAGGUGCGAAAGCGUGGGGAGCAAACAGG
rnacentral:misc_RNA from 1 species